UUUUAUUACAUUAAGGUUAUAUAUUCAGCCGAAAUUUGCCUAUUGGUGAAUAUUCUACACAUACCAAGAAUAUGGGUUGUUUGUCAGAGUUUUGACCAUUUAUGAUACAUUUUAUUAUUUUUCAUACUAAAAACAUAAGUUCAUAUACAUUGAUGCUUCUCCCAGAAAUCCCAGCAGGAUGAAGAAUACCCAGAAACACGGAUUUUCUAUUAAAAUAUCACAUUUUUGGAACGUUUAUGCUCCGAACUAUAAUUUUAAGCACCAAAACUACCAGAAAAAGGAAACUAUUUCAAGGAAGCUGCUUUAGAAAACCACUUGGUAACUCCUCUUUACUGGCUUCCUGCUGGUUCCAGUUCAACAGGCUGCUGUCAAAACCAUUUCCAUGACUUAUACAUUUUGUUCCGAUUUAAAAAUCAAAUGCAGACGAAUUUUUAAAGCAGCAAGAUUGGGAAUAAAAACAAUUUGGGCAGCUGUGAUGUAGCAGUGACAGUUUUAGGUUUUCAUUUAUAAAUAUAAGCAACAGAAGGUUCACAUAAGUAAUGUGUGGGUGUGCACAGGCAUGCAAAUGUGUGGAGGUGUUAAAUGUGUUGACACACACAAAUGAAUCACAUAUUGUGGAUGUAAAUCCAUAUGCACAGUGUGAAGGAGAUAACAGUCAGAAAAAUCCUAAAAACACACGAGAAACAUGGACUAACCAGGUUAUUUAUAGGAAGAAAUCCUGCUAAUUAUCACAGGAUAAGAAAAAAGUUGCUAACAUGACCAGAUGUGAAUUUAUGUAUAGAGUAAAAAGUUUGUAAAAAAAAAAAAAAAAAUCAUUUAAAAAUUAUUAAUUUCAUCAAAACAUGCUUAAAAAGCGUGAUAACAUUUUUUUUUUAGCUCGGGCUGAAGCAAGUGAUGACAAGAGUAAAAAUCGUUUUCAGAACUAAAACCGAUAUAAUAAAGUAUUGACCGUUUGGACAUGACGUCACGCUCUUCGUAACUCCGCCCACUCCGCCAUGAUGAACGUCAAGACAACCAAUGCGCUCCUUUAAAGCUAGUCUGAAAACACAUCUGUAACCUCUGCAGCGAACACUUUUUACAAGCAAAACAAAUGUCCUUCCGCAGGACGAACACAAAGAUGGAGGCGCAGAAACGGAGAGCUUGAAAGGAAAGGAGGGAAUACAGUGAAACACCUGAACGGCAGAUAAAAGGGGAGGGGAAGCGACGGAUGAUUAACCCCGUCUCCAAGGCUGGACGGACGGCGACCUUCACCUCCAGACGGAGGUCGCCGCACCGCAGCAGGAAGCCAGGAGGAGCAGCGGACAUGACGAAAACGUCACGAUUCUCCACACGUGUGACACAUUUCCUGUAAAACUCAACAAGCUGCUAGAAGACGCGCUCAUGGCGAGGAGAGCGACAGCAACCCGGAGUCAGAGGCGCAGAGCCGCUGACCUCUUGGCAAACCCAGCCUGCUGGAGCCAAGUGAUCACCGCAGGCUACAAACGGCGCUACAGACAACACAGCCACACGCACAGGCAGGCGGACCCAGGGCGGGUCGGCAGAACCGAGCCGGAAACGGCAGGAGGAGGAGAACAAGCAACACAAUCUCUCCUGCAAGCUCUCCUCUCCCUGAAUUCCCGCAGCAUAAUACUGCCACCCAGGGCAGCAGGUAAGUUCUUUCUGAUGUAUGCAGGCAGUUUUCAAUGCACAAAACGCCGUCAAAUGCAGAAAAUGUUAACUAGAAAUAAUUAUUCUGCAUAUUUUGCACUUUUUAUGCCACUGCAGUCGCUCUCAGACCGGGCCGGCCCAAAUCAAUGCAAAUUAAGCGGCUGGGUAGGGCGCCACACCACCAGGGGGCCCCCAAGAGCAACAAGCUAGCGUUUGUUUUCUGUUUUUGCGUUAAUUUCCUGCGCGGCUGCGGACUGUAACCGGACCCCCGCUGAGCGGCUCGCCGCCACUCGAGCUGUGAAGCCGUGCCCAGCCAGGCGACGCAUCCGUCAGGCGGCCGCCACCACACACAAACUUGACCUUUGUGUAGUGCUUGUGCAAAAGGUCAGGCAUUGCUCAACGCUCGCACAGCAACAACGUCAUCAUGGAUGAACUUCACCAGCCUUCAGGCCCGAGGAGGAAUCGACAUGAGCAGAAUAUGCAAAACUGCUUCACUGAUGAAACCUCAAGUUUUGACUGUGAUUCAUGAAUUUUAAGUGUAACAGACCAGGAACGCCCGACCGCGUCAGAAACGACCAGACCUAUUUACAUCCACAAAGGAGGCAGAAUUCGGCCUUCAGCUCCAAACGGAGCUCCUAAGUCUGCAGAACGCUUCGCAGCAUCGCGGCACAAAUGAAAUGCUUCCUGGAAACACAAUGACGGGCGUUUGUGGAGAUCCGGCUGGAGAGAAGUCAGACACAGACGCUGCUGACCUCUGACCCCUGCCCUGUUUGGAGCGCUGUGGCGUGCAUUGUGCGGGGUAAACGCUGCACUGACCUUGUAGUUUGAUGAAAAAUUAACCUGCAACAAUGAUGCACAUUAACCCCUCGCCCCGACUCGUUCCCUUACAAACAUCCACGCUGCAGCUUCCGUCUUCGCUCCCCCCGUUUUCGUUCUCUCGUUCCUCUCUCCACAUUUAAAUCUUAGCCAGCAGAGUUGCCAUGGUUACCCAUUCACCACAGUCUCCCGCUCCGUCCAGCUGUAUCCCACCGACUCCGCAUCCUCCUCCCGCUCCCCCCUCAUUAGCACUCUAUACACACAAUCAUACACAAGAGGCCUAAACCAAAGUCUGAAUGACAUCAACUCUCCACGAAAAGGAGAAAAUGAAAGCCAAGAGGAAGAGCCACAAGCAGCCGGCGGCUGCGGCAGGGACGCCACGGCGAUGACGCUGAAAUCAGCAGCGAGUCACACGCUGGAAAAGUCAAGGUUGUUUUUAAGUGUUGGUUCAAAGACGUUUUUACCAGGAUCGACGUCAGUAAGCGGAUUGCUAAUAUGAGCUGCUGCUCCUUUUGCUGCAGCCCCUCUGCUAGGAAACUGAUGAGAACUACAAGAUGCACCGAUGCAUCUAAUUUUGGGCCGAUACUUACAAGUGAAGCCGAUCUUAUCCACUGAUCUUCUCUACCUCAGAUGUCUAAAAAUCGACCGCUGCUCUCUUCAGCUCUGCAGUGAGAGGUUUGAACGUUAUGGCACCUUCACAGCAAACACGAUUUGAGCAUCAAGAGCCAAAGUCUGCUUUACAGCGAUCCCUCGUUUUUUCACGGGGUUGCAUUCCGAAAAUAACCCGCGAUAAGUGAAAUCUGCAAAGUAGUUACCUUUAGUUUUUACAAUUAUUACACAGCAUAAUUAAAUACUCUACACUGAAACCAAAGAACAAAACCCGUGUUCAUCAAUCGGGCCUUAAUGUGAUCCAGUCAUGUCGUUACAGCGUUUCCUCCAAGCUGCCCUGCAGAUUCACAGCUGGAUCUACGGCGGAGCGACGGAUCUCAUCAGGCCUCCGGUCGGUUCUGCGCUGAUUCUGGACAGUUUUUUUCCAGCAGGCAUUCAAAGUUUUCAGCUUUCAUCUCCUGAAUGGCCAAUCUGUAUUACUUAUAUUUAAAUACCGUAACGUUAUUGGCACACAGGGAGAGAAGGAGCUCGGAGACGGUUUAGCCAAUCAGGACGCAGAACUCAAUGCACUGCGAACAAAACUGCAUAAAAACAAUCCGCGUAGCAGCGAAAGGUGAACCGCGUCAUAGCGAGGGAUCACUGUACAUCCAAAGUCAAUGUGGAGGCGUGAAGCGUUUUGAGCGUCCAACACGUCCAGAGUUGAGAAAUCUGAACGUUCGCUGCUCGACGAGGAGCGUCAACCAAUCAGAGAGACUCUACUACGUGACGUAGUGGCCAGUGGUUGGAGUCCUGCCAGGAGAUG